GGGGAGGGGCGCGGCUGUGCGGGACGGAGCGGGGCUGGCGCUGCGGGAGUUGGGCAGAGGGCAGGGGAAGCGGCGUGGGGAGAGGAGAGAAAAAAUAAGGAGGGGAUGGGGAAAGAGAAGGGAGUGAGGAAGAAAAAAAAAAGAGGGAAAGUGAAAGGAAAAGUGGAGGGAAACGAGGAAAAAAGCCUUGCAAAAUUGAAGAAAAAAAACAACAACAAAGGAAAAGCUGACUUAUUACCCCAGUAGAAACCAAGAAGAGUAACAAAAAAGUAAGUAAAAUCAAAAGGAAAUUCAGUGCAAGUUCCAAGAGGACAGAGAGUGAAAAAGAGACAAAGCUGAACUAUAAAUAUAUGGCAAUUAGAGUUAGAAAUUUUAAAAAAGCGAUAGAAGAAAAGGCAGCACCAAUCAUAGCAGACUUCGGAGUAAAAGAACAGAAAGUGGGUUACACCACAGCUUGCAUGUGCCACCCCUCGGCCCUCCCAGCAGCGCGGCUGUGGGCUGCAUUGUGGUGUGAGAGCUGCAGGGCCCUGCUGACAGCACCCACACCGUCCCCAUGGCGUGUGCCAACACCCACUGUGCCCACGGGCCAUCCCCAUAGGGUGUGCCAACGGGCCGUGCCCACAAGCCCUGCCUAUACACCAUCCCCACAGGCCGUGCCCACAGGUCCCAAUGGCUGCGGCGCUUUCUAAGAGUUGGCGUUUUCAAGUCACUGGAAACUAAAAUUGCAGUGAGCUGAUCCGGUUGUGCCAGGGAAGGGGGAGGAAAUGGGGUUGGGAGCUGCUGAAAUAGCAGCUGCUGAGAAAGCGAUGAAGCUGAGGGCAGGAAGUUGCAGAAACCAAAAAUAAAAGCACAAAGAAACGGGCGAUCAGUUGGCCCGAAGGAGGGAAAGAGAAAGAAGGAGAGCUGACAGAAAGAAUGUGAAAUAAAAUCGUGCCUGGUUGUAGCCUGCGAUUCAGUGAUUCAUUGCUGACCUGGAAAGGCUGCAACCCCAGCUGUGCAAGAAAGUGCUUGCAAACUUGCAAGGAAAAAAAACAUUUUGGCUACGAAACGUCUAUUUGAGUAGACUUAGAGGAGAAGUCGUUCAGGGAAAGAAACAUUAGAUCUUCACUGUGCUGGGAAGGGCAGCACGCAGCCUGCUUUAUGCGUUUCAGAUGUGCCCAUCGUGCAGGAAUCCGGCCACCCGGGGAAGGCAGGAGUGAGGGUGUUGCCUGACCUGGAAGUGAGCUGAAAGAAGUGAAUGAAACCAGGCAUCUGUAAGCAAGCAAGUGUGCUCCGUGCUGCUGGGAGCCGCAGAGCCAGGCCUGGCUGCAGAGGCAAGGGCUAUUCUAAGAAUUGGUUUUAGGCAGAAAGGGGUUCCACACAGCUGCAGCAAAACUGAGGCUCUGCUAUGCAAAAGUGUUUCGUGGAAGAGCAGAGCGCUCGUGUCUCCACACAGGGAGUAGGAGGCAGAAAUUCCCCGCUGAUACAAAAGCAAGCUAUUGAAACUAAAACGCGUUGGUGAGGUGGUGCCACUUCUUAAAUAAAACAUCACAACAAGAAAUGCUGGGUGUGAACCCUGUGUCCCCAUGAACCCUCCUGCCUGUGUGCUAUUUUUGAUGUAAUAACCGACCACCCCAGUUUCAGUACAGAGAGGAGCUUAGCUUCAAAACUAACAGCGUGCAGUGCAUACUUACUGAACACGUAGCAAAAUGCGUAGUUCCCUUCUUCUCCAGCCGAGCAGCAGACAGGUGAGGGUAUACAGACUCACAUCUGCACACCUGCUUUACUGAACCAGCACAAUUCAAGAAGGCUCUGCUUUGAUGACAGAAGUUUAAGCACAAUACAUCGAGACCAAGACCGCUGGAGUCUGAUGGAACAAAGACACCUACAGAGUAGAAGAGAAGAGAGGCCAAAACAUUUGUAGAGAAAGCCACAUGUAUAUGCAUGCUCACACUGCAAGAAUCAGGUGAUUCCUGUACCUGAAGCCUUCUUUCUGAGGGAGUCAGCAGAGCCUCUGCUGAACCUGAGCUGACUGGGAACAGCUGUAACCUAAAACACUUGGAGCAGAAAUCCCCAGGAGCUAUGCUAGGCACCUGAGCUUCCUAGGGGAGCGCAGCUUACAUGAGGCUGCAACUUGAACAAGAACUACCUGUCUGUGACUCAACACUCAACACUCGCAACAAGAUAAAGCCUGUGGGUGGACAGUGCGUACAAAUGAGUUUAGAGAACUUCUACUUGUGCUCGACACUAUGGGUAAAUCAGGGAGAGACUGUGAGAGUACUGCUAUCAGCUUUUCACAGUAGUUCAGGUGAACUGGUUUCAUGAACCUGAUGCAGAAUAUGAGAGGGAGAAUUCAGAAGCUGAAGAUAAUGCACAACAGCAUAGAUCCCUUAUGACUCAGAUCUGCAGUGCUCUGCCCAUGUACUAACCACUAAUGAGCUUCUAGACUCUUGACUUUAUAGCAGAUGUUAAGCUAUGAAGUCUAAUUAUACAAGAUCUGGUAACUCCAGAUCUCUGGAGAUUAUCUGGUGUAACCCCUUGCUUAGAGAGAAGGAUCAGCUAGAACAGGGUGCCCAUGGCUGUGUCCAGUCACGUUUACAGUAACUCCAAGGGCAGAGACUCCACUGCCUCUCUGGGCAGCCUGCUUCAGUGUCCGACCACCACCAGAGUCAGAAGUCUUUUUGUUUUUAAAAAGAACCUCAUGUAAUCAGCACAGGUUAACAUACAUCUUGUACAUUCACAGGAGGCCACUGAAGAGUUCAGCUGCCUCUUCCCUCACUCACCCCAACUUUAGGUAUUUAGAUGAAUUAAUAGGUUCUCUCUGCACCUUCUCUCCUCUAGGAUGAAGAGUCCCAACUCUCUCAGCCACUCAUAUGACAAACAUUCCAGUCCCUUAAUCAUCUUUGUGGCUUUUGCUGGACUUGCUCCACUGAUCCUUCACCUAUCCUCCUAUCCUCCACCUAUCCUUCCUGUACUGUGGAGUCCAGAGCUGGUUCUAACACUCCAGAUGCAUCUUUCCAGUGCUGAGCAGAGGGGAAUGAUCACCGCCCUCAACCACCUGACAACACCACAUUAUAGCAGUCCAGGAUGCCGUUGGGUCUUCUUCGUUACGGGGCCACAUUGCUAGUUCGCAUUCAAGCUGGUGUUCUCCAGGACUUCCAGGUUCUUUUCUGUAAUGUUACUUUCCAACUAUUUGGUCCCCAGCUUAGGGGGAACUUACUUGUAUUCAUCAGUGUAUGGGAGUAUUACUCCCAAGUGGAGGAUUUAGCAUCUCCCUUUGUUAAACUCUACAAGAUUCAUCUUGGCUGAUUUGUCCAGUCUGUUCAGAUCCCUCUGAAUGGUAGCACAACCAUCUCCACAUACCAGCCCUCUCAGUCUGCAAUUGUCUGCAGACUUGCUGAGAGUGCACUCUGGCCCAUCAUCAAGGACUAUUAAUGAAGAUGUUAAAUGGCAUUGGCCCCAAUAUUAACCUUGUGCCACUGAUUACCAUCUUCUGUGCCUGGCAUUUCAAUCAGUUUUCAGUUCACUUCACUGUCCGCUUGUCCCGUCAUCAUCUUGUUAAUGAAGAUGCAAUGACAGCACUGAAAGCCUUGCUAAAGCAAGAUGAUUAACACCCACUUCUCCCUCCUCAACCAUCAAUCUAAUCGCUUCAUCACAGAAGGCUAUCAGGUCUGUCAGGCAUGAUUUUCCCUUCAUACGUCCACAGUGACAACUCCCACUCCUCUUUGGGUCCUUAAUAUAUUUUGAAAUUGGUUCCAGAAUUCCUUCAUUAUUAAAAAGGGGGGCCUUUCAGUAUCUGAUGGGGUGGGGAGGCAUAAGAAAGGAGACAGACUCCUGAGAUGGGACAAGGGGAAAUGAUUUCAAACUAAUAGAGGGGAGAUUUCAACUGGAUAUAAGGAAUAAGUUUUUUUUUUUUUUUUUUUUUUUUUUUAAACAGUAAGGAUGGUGAGGCACUGGCACAGGUUGCCCAGAGAGCUGGUGGAUACCCCACCUCCAGAGACACUCGAGGUCAGGCUGGAGGGACUCUGAGCACCUGAUGGAGCUGUAGGUGUCCCUCAUCACUGCAGGGGAAUUGGACCUGCUGACCUUUAAGGGUCCUUUCCAACUCGAACAGUUCUAUGACUAUUUGCUCCAUCACCUUCCUAGGUGUUGAGGUGAUGCUGACUGGCCUUGUAAUUACUCACAUUCUCAUUCUUCUUGAUGUUAAGUCUGACGCUUACUUUCUUCCAGACCUCAGAAACCUCCUCUGAUACUGUGACCUUUCAAAGAUACUUGAGUGUCCUUGAAAUGGUGUCUGUCCUCAGCACGUGUGGAUGUAGCCCAUUGGUUCCCAUGGACUUGCUCUUGUCCAAUUUAUUUAAAUGUUCUGAUAAUCUCUACUGAGAGAAAGUCUUCAUUGCUCCAGAUGCUCCCGCUGGUAUCAGAGGUGUGGAAUUUCUGAAAUCAAGUCUUACCAGUAAAGACAAAAGGGAAGAACACACUGAGUUCCUCUGCCUUCUAUGUCCUUUGCUACUACCAUCCCAUUCAGCAACGGGCUCAAACUUUCCCUAGCCUUCCUUUUGCUGCUGAUACACUUGAGCAAGUCCUGACAGUUCAGUGUUACUCAGUUCCUUUUUUUUUUUGCUGAACUUCCUCAAUGGUCUGUUCCACUAGUGAAGUUCCCAGAAAGAGAGAGAAGAUGCUGUUGUCUCCUUUUUAACAAAUAGAUUGCCAAUUUGGAUAUAUUUACUAUGACACACUCAAAUGCAAUCCCUUUUUCUAAGAGGAAUCCAAACCUCUUAUCAAUCCAGGUAAAUUCAGUAACCGUAAAUCUAAAACAACUUCUCCUUUUUAUUCAAAGUAUGAAAAUAUUUAUUAGAGCACAAAGAGGAGUCUAGGUCUUGGUCUUCCUCAUUCCUUUCCCCACAGAUGAGUACUAUUACUAACAGAGCAGCUUCUCUUAAAUUCUCAUUGCAACCCGUUGAACAUUCACUCAUUUGUAUAAAGUCCAACAGUUAGACUAUGCUCCCCUUGCACUUAGCACUUGAUCUGACAAUCUGAAGUCUUCAGAAAGACAAAGUUCUAGAAGUAUAUUGAUUUUAAUUUUUACUCAGGCAUGGAUGUUGAACAUAAUUCUCAGCCUACCUCCAAAACAGAGUGAUCCAACCGCUGCCUUCCGAAGUGAGUCCUUAAGGCAACAGUAGUUGUAUUGGUGGUUAAACUCAGCAUUUAUCUUUAACCUUUAGUUCCACUUUCUGCUUUUAUAGCCAUGAGAACUGCAAGAGAGGACAUGACAGACACCGUAAAGUAGGAAUGAGCAAAAGGCAAGCCAAGAAUCUUGACUUUAAAAGCAAAAGUUACUGGAGACUCCAAGUCAGAGUAUAUUUUAUUCCUCUAGGAAAACAUGUUUAGACAUAAUAAUUGGACACAAAAUAAAGCAUGAACAGUGCUAGAGAUCAUUUUAAAUUGAAGUUGACUUCAUCUUGUUUUUUAAUAAACAAUACCAUGGAUUUUGAAAGGUUGUUAAUGCCUUAAAUAUAACAACAUAACAAUGCUGUAACGCAACAAGUCUUGGAUAGUAAUCUCAUGUUUUAACCCAAUAUCUAACUGAAAAUACAGCUACUUCAUCCAUUUCAUUACACCGUAUUUUAGCUCCUUCCUCUUAUUGCUAUUAUCCUGAACUGAGAACAAAACUUCUUCAAAUUUAGUUUGAAAAAAUAACUCUGGAAAUUAAAUCGACAAACAAUUUUUUGGCAAAACAUACAUCUCUCUGUCCUUAGAAGCACCCAAACAGUGAUGGAAUGAAGCACUUCAAACUGUUUCUGCAAAGAGGUUUUUCCACUAAUAAUAAAAUGUCGAUUUUGCAAUUUGA